ACGGGUGCGUAACGCGUGGGAAUCUGCCCCUUGGUUCGGAAAACAGCGAGAAAUUGCUGCUAAUACCGGAUGAUGACUUCGGUCCAAAGAUUUAUCGCCAAGGGAUGAGCCCGCGUAAGAUUAGGUAGUUGGUGGGGUAAUGGCCUACCAAGCCGACGAUCUUUAGCUGGUCUGAGAGGAUGAUCAGCCACACUGGGACUGAGACACGGCCCAGACUCCUACGGGAUGCAGCAGUGGGGAAUAUUGGACAAUGGGCGAAAGCCUGAUCCAGCAAUGCCGCGUGAGUGAUGAAGGCCUUAGGGUUGUAAAGCUCUUUUACCAGGGAUGAUAAUGACAGUACCUGGAGAAUAAGCUCCGGCUAACUCCGUGCCAGCAGCCGCGGUAAUACGGAGGGAGCUAGCGUUGUUCGGAAUUACUGGGCGUAAAGCGCACGUAGGCGGCUACUCAAGUCAGAGGUGAAAGCCCGGGGCUCAACCCCGGAACUGCCUUUGAAACUAGGUAGCUAGAAUCUUGGAGAGGUCAGUGGAAUUCCGAGUGUAGAGGUGAAAUUCGUAGA
rnacentral:rRNA from 1 species